rnacentral:lncRNA from 1 species
UAACAUGAAGUAGAAAAUCUAUAUUAUAAUAUAAUUUUGUUAUUCCAAUUAUGACCUUUGUAGCUUUCUUUCCAGUCUUCAAUUAGUUCAGGCUCAUACCUUGGUAUUCUUUAAACUGGAACCAUUUCUCAGCCUUUCCUUGUGUUUGUUCACUUUGAUAUUUCUAAAGUGGAUAGGCUAGUUAUUUUGUAGAUUGUCCUUCUUGUGUUUGCCCACUGCUUCUUCCUAAUUAGGUUCAGGUUAUUCAUUUCGGUAGGAAUCCCACUGAAGUGAUACUGUGUUCUAUUUAGUAUAUCUUUUGAGGAGACAUGUGAUAGCAGUUUGUCCCAAUAUUUGUGACACCAGUGUAAUGACUUGGUUAAGUUGGGUUGACCAGGUUCCUCCACUGUCAGGUUAUACUUUUUCAUUCUGUAAUUAAUGUAUCGCUAUAUAUUUUAUAUACUUUGAAACUGUAAACAUCUUGUCCUCAUCAAACUUUCACCUACUAACUUUAGCAGUCAUUGCUAAUUUUUUAAA